rnacentral:rRNA from 1 species
CCUACGGGCGGCAGCAGUGAGGAAUAUUGGUCAAUGGACGAGAGUCUGAACCAGCCAAGUAGCGUGAAGGAUGACUGCCCUAUGGGUUGUAAACUUCUUUUAUAUGGGAAUAAAAUGUUCCACGUGUGGGAUUUUGUAUGUACCAUAUGAAUAAGGAUCGGCUAACUCCGUGCCAGCAGCCGCGGUAAUACGGCGGAUCCGAGCGUUAUCCGGAUUUAUUGGGUUUAAAGGGAGCGUAGGUGGAUUGUUAAGUCAGUUGUGAAAGUUUGCGGCUCAACCGUAAAAUUGCAGUUGAAACUGGCAGUCGUGAGUACAGUAGAGGUGGGCGGAAUUCGUGGUGUAGCGGUGAAAUGCUUAGAUAUCACGAAGAACUCCGAUUGCGAAGGCAGCUCACUGGACUGCAACUGACACUGAGGCUCGAAAGUGUGGGUAUCAAACAGGAUUAGAUACCCCAGUAGUC